rnacentral:rRNA from 1 species
AACAACUCACCUGCCGAAUGAAUUAGCCCUGAAAAUGGAUGGCGCUUAAGCGGGUAGCCGACACCACGCCGUUUGGGCAAGUAAUUGUUCCCAAAUGAGUAGGAGGGACGUGGCGGUCGUAUCGAAGCGUUCCGUGCGAACGGGCGUGGAACGGCCGCUAGUGCAGAUCUUGGUGUUAGUAGCAAAUAUUCAAUUGAGAUCCUUGAAGGGCGAAGCGGGGAAGGGUUCCACGCGAACAUUGAUUGAGCGUGGGUGAGUCGUUCCUAAACCACGUGGCAAUAGCUAAGUAUUGGUGAAAGGGAAGCAGGUUGACAUUCCUGCACACGAAUGUAGACGCGGUGACGCACUUCUGGGGGUGAUGAAGCUGGCGAUGGCACUGGGCAGAGUUGUCUUUUCUGUUUAACCUUUGGCUUGACAUGCUGUGUGGAAUCCGCUUGUCGGGAGAAGCACGCAUGCUUGGGCAUAGCGCCGGGGUGUUUUCCGGCGUCCAGCUCGCCAUCGUCGGACCUUGAAAAAUUACCUGCUGGCACUUGGUCGGUUUGAAGACCUUGUGUGGAAGAACUCUACGUCGUAACGUACCCAUAACCGCAUCAGGUCCCCAAGGUGAACAGCCUCUGUUCGAUAUGAAAAAU